rnacentral:rRNA from 1 species
AUUGAACGCUGGCGGCAGGCCUAACACAUGCAAGUCGAGCGGAUGAGGGAAGCUUGCUUCCCGAUUUAGCGGCGGACGGGUGAGUAAUGCCUAGGAAUCUGCCUAUUAGUGGGGGAUAACGUUCCGAAAGGAACGCUAAUACCGCAUACGUCCUACGGGAGAACGUGGGGGAUCUUCGGACCUCACGCUAAUAGAUUAGCCUAGGUCGGAUUUGCUAGUUGGUGGGGUAACGGCUCACCAAGGCGACGAUCCGUAGCUGGUCUGAGAGGAUGGUAAGCCACACUGGAACUGAGACACGGUCCAGACUCCUACGGGAGGCAGCAGUGGGGAAUAUUGGACAAUGGGCGAAAGCCUGAUCCAGCCAUGCCGCGUGUGUGAAGAAGGUCUUCGGAUUGUAAAGCACUUUAAGUUGGGAGGAAGGGUUGUAAGCUAAUAUCUUGCAGCUUUGACGUUACCAACAGAAUAAGCACCGGCUAACUCUGUGCCAGCAGCCGCCGUAACAC